rnacentral:lncRNA from 1 species
GGAAAAACUCGCCUUUAAAGAUGUUGCGGCUAAUGUAAGUGAUAAAGUGAUCCCACAGCCGAUAAAGGAUCUUAUUAUAACCGGCCCCUCUAAUGUGUUAAAAGUGCCACCUGACAUACACCAAGUUGCGGCACAAGUAGAUAGAGCUAUAUGUUCCUUGGAUCAUACACAUAAAGAAAAAGUAUGAUGGGAGGUGGUUAGACAGAUGGACAUAGCCAGUAAAAAAGACCCAUGGAGAGUGGCUAAACAAAAGGCCCUCCUCUCAUAUGCUAGAGACUGGAUGACCAAAGAAUGGACUAUUUGUACUAAAGAUGAUAAGUCCAGAAAAGUGGUCCUCAUAGACCAGGAUACAUACUACAGGCUCUUGAAUGACUUUAUUACGCAAUCAAAGUUGGAGAUCCUGAUGUCCGAUCCAAC